AUGCAGGGGUGGGGGAGGCCGGAGCUCCCGAUGCGUCCGCACUUGGGGGGCGGGGGGGAGGGGAAGCAGGAAGAAAGGAGACACCAGGCACCCCCGCUCCGCACCCUUGCCCUUCCCCCAGCCCUCCUGCAGCAGCAAAGACUUAGCAGGGAGGGGAUCUUGGAGAGGAGGGAGAGAGGAGGAGAGAGAGAGAGAGAGGGAGAGAGAGAGAGAGAGGGAGAGAGAGAGGGAGAGGGAGGGAGAGGGAGGCCCGGGUGGCAGGCUCUACAGAGUUCAGAAGAGCGACCUUUCAGCCCGCACACCUUGAGCCCGGCCUGCCGGGCUGUGUCUGCAGGUCGCUCCUGCGCCCCGGCCGGGGUCGCCCAAGGCGGAGGUCAGGUGAACAAAAGGGACGCUCCCGCCGGGUGCAGGCUCACACAGGCCACCGGCCGGCCGCCCGCGAGCCCCGCACCGGCGGGGGGAGGGGGAGGAGAGGGGGAGGGGAGGGCCGACCCGAGGGGCCGGAGCGGGCGCGGCCCCUCGGAUCGGGAGCCUCACCUUUGCUGUCCUUAUAUACGCGGCCAAGCAUCCCAAACACGCGCCCGGCCAAGUGGCCCCCUCGGGCUGUGCUCCUUGACCAUAUUUAGUCAAGCAGGGGAAAAAAUAGCCUGUCAGCUGGGCCGCGGCUGGCCGGCCACCGGGAACAGGGUGGGAGCGCCAGCGCCAUUGACGGCCGGUCCUGGGCCCGGGCGGCUGUCCCUGGCCGCUGCCCCUCCCAGCCCCUCCCCACGGGCCUCCCACCGGCUGUUCCUGCCCCGCCGGCCCCCGGCUAUUUUUAGCCCAGCCCAGUACAGAGGCGCCUGGCGGCAGCGGGCAACAACCUCUUGGGCCACACAGCCCGCUGGCGGGGGUGCCCCGGGGAGACCCGGGUGGCUCCCAGAACACAGGCAGGAAGCAGGCCUGCCGCCUCCUCCCCAUCCUCAGCCUCCAGCGGGCUCAGCCUUGCCCCUUUUCCCAGAAUCAGGGCCCCAAUCGGGUGGUGAGGGAGCCACCGCGCUUCCAGAAGCUCCCAAGCCAGCCCCGAAAUGA
rnacentral:lncRNA from 1 species